UUUUCAGUGCUGGCAUUUUAAAACCUUGAAGAUCUGGGAAUGGAUGUACAGAAAUUUCUCUCCAGUUCGUUCUAUUCCACAGUUAAGAAGAUAUUCCCUGCUGUCUUCCCACAUAUUUCCCUUAGAUUAUCCAAUGUGAAAAGCAUCUCAUGCGCUCUGUGACAAAGGCCUUCCAGAAGCCUUAUUAAUUCCAGGGAUUGGAUUGCUUGCCUUACUUCCACAUCUGUCUUCCUAACUUCUAAACAUGUGCAACAGUAGAAAUCUUUCAUUUUAAGGAAAUUACAUAUUCCCAACACCAAUAUUUUGAUGUGUGACCAGUCAGUUACUUCUGAUAUGGAUUUGGAGGAGUCCUGUGAAAAGUUUAGCUGAAUCUAAACACAUGGAUGUGUCAUCAUGGAGGUGGCUGAAGAAUCAACCAACCUCCACAGGUUACAACCUGAUCCAAGCCCAACUCAGUAGUGACUAAAAUUUGUUGCUACAGAACAAUAUUAGAAGAAGAACAAAUGGAUCCCUUGAAAAAAUUCAGGCUGAUAGUUAGAAGACAGUUUCUAACUAUCUGGAAUAGCAAGCAUUCUGCAGAAGGUUGUGGAACUGCCUUCAGAAGAAUAGUGGAAUGAGAUGGUUGAAAAUUGUUGAAGAUGAAGCUAGAUAAACUUCUGCAUGGGAUUGUUUGCGAUAAUUGCCUGCAGCAACAGGCAGCUGAAAUAAAAAAAGUUUAUGCUGUUGCAUUUGGUCUUUUGUGCAAUGAGAAGGAAUGCGAUGUCAGCCUGUAAGGAUGAACAUCUGUGUUACAGAAUGAGGAUGAUGAAUGUAGAGGCCAAGAACAGGAUGUACAUGGGUUACUUCUCACUGAGCAGAGGUGAGUUUUUGUCUACCAAAGACCUGCUCUGUUGCAAAUCACAAGGAAUUUCCACUGACACCAGUGGAAACAGGAAGACAUCAUUAGGUGAGAAGUGGCUUCUAAGAGUGCCUUUAGAAAUGAUUUUGUGAGUCCUUUCAAAUGCUUGCACUGUUAACUUCUAGGUGCAAAUGACCAUCGGAUCAAGUUUAACAGGAGAAAUGGGAGUCUGUGUUGUCACUUUAGCUAACACCAGAAGA